CCCCAGUUGAGGCUGGAGUCAGAUGCUCGGCUGGAGUCCUGGCCGGUAAUAAACUCCGGUGUGGAUUUAAUAUCAGUCUCUGGAGAGACCAGGACUUCGGCAGUGUUUGGCCCCUCUGGACACCGUUCUCCGGAAGGAGAGGCCAUCCUGAUGGUAUUCCGGGGCUCCAGGUAGACCGGUCCCAGCCGGGCCCUAUUGCCAAUCAACCGACCCACAGGAGUUUAUCGGGAAAGCCUCUAAAGGUUACUUUCAACUUCUGAAGAUGAAUAGUUAUUUCUAGAAAUUACUGACAGUCCCUUGCCAUGUGACCUUCCUCAAUGUGGCCAGUUACUUCAUCAAGCUGCCAAGGAGCAUCUUUUGCCUUGAGAAAGUGGAAACACUUCACCUCUUAAGGAUGUUUACCCAAUUAUGUCAGGCCCGUCCUGUGUAUUAGCUCAAAAUCAUCUGUUUUGAAUCUUUAAUAACAUUUUCAAAAUCCCUUUAGUUUUGUCAUAUUCUGCUAGCUAGAAACAAACCAUGAUCAGCCCAUAUUCACAAAUAAGAAACUACGAAGAGUGUAAACACAAUGGGGAGGAAUUUCUGGAUUUACUAUAAGCUCCAUUGGACAGAAUCAGUUUGUAUUUGCUACAGGUUUUUCUGGGUUUUUUUUUUCCUAGUUUCAUUUUCUGUUUUGCUUGACCAAUGACUAUUAUAUGCAUUUAUGAGAUACAAUAUUAAGUUUUAAUAUGUGCAUAUAUUUGUGGAAUGAUCAAAAAUAUGGAAGGAAUGUAUUAGGUAGGAAAUAAAGAAAAUACUUGUAAACUA